UAAGACAUGCAAAAAAUACAUCAAAUAAUAAAGACCUUUGCUAUGGUCUACUCUUUGGAAUCGUAUCAGGCGAUACCUGCGAAGUUACGAACAUCUUCCCAAUGACCGAGGAGUCCACCAACCAGAGAAAAUCUGACUAUCAACAAAACAUAUCCCAACUAAUGAAACAAGUCAACAUGGACUACUACCGGGCAGGAUGGUAUCAAAAUUCAUCCUCCAAGUCCUUUUAUAACGUGGACACAAUAAUAAACUGUUAUGAGUCACAAAUAGUUGCUCCUGAUUCGAUAAUGAUCACAUUUGGUACAUUCUACUCGUCAUUUUCUUAGAUUUUGAGUCUAUUUCAAAUGGGGUGUUCAAUUUCCAGGCUUUCCGACUCAGCGAUACUCUCAUGUCCAUAGCAGCCGAGUCCGAUCCUCUCCAGAGUUCUGCUUUGGCCAGUCUUACUGAUAAGGAUAUUUUUCAAGAGCUCAAAAUAGUAUACGCGUGCGACAAUCUGACCAAAAUAUUGUUGCUUGAACUUUUUGAGGACAUGAGACCUCAUCAGGUGUUUUCUGACCUUCAAAUCGCCUCAGGGUGCUGUAAGUUGGUUGAGUUUUAGAGAGGGGUUGGAAAAUGUGGUGCAGAGGGUGUUGGAGAUGGAAGCAGUGCAGCCCGACAGCAGGAUGGUGAGGGGAAUCAACAAUGACGAGGAUCAGUCCAAUAUGACUUCGAUUAGCAACAUUGUCGAUUCUAAGGCCUUUCUUAAAGUGUUGAGUGCUGGGAAGUGGAAGGAUUUCUGUUCUAGGAUUGCCAGAAUUUCUAAUCACAAUUCUGAACGAUUUGGACUUGUCAAAUCUUUUUCGGAAAUUAGCUGAAUUUAUUAAUUUUAUACCUCUAUUUGAUUUAGUUCUUCAGUAAUUUUCAUAAUUCGA